UUGACCUCGGAUCAGGCAGGGAUACCCGCUGAACUUAAGCAUAUCAAUAAGCGGAGGAAAAGAAACCAACAGGGAUUGCCUCAGUAACGGCGAGUGAAGCGGCAACAGCUCAAAUUUGAAAUCUGGCUCUUUUAGGGUCCGAGUUGUAAUUUGUAGAGGAUGCUUCGGCGUCCGCUCCGGUCUAAGUUCCUUGGAACAGGACGUCAUAGAGGGUGAGAAUCCCGUAUGUGAUCGGUUGCCCUUGCCAUGUGAAGCUCCUUCGACGAGUC
rnacentral:rRNA from 1 species